rnacentral:tRNA from 1 species
GCGGCCAUAGUCUAGUGGUAGGACUCAGGCCCCCCAAGCCUGUGGCGCGGGUUCAAGCCCCGCUGGCCGCA